GAAGUGCGAAAAGCAAUGCGAAUUGCAGAAUUCCGCGAAUCAUCAGAUCUUUGAACGCAACUGGCGCCUGCCGGAUAUCCGGUUGGCAUGUUUGUUUCAGUGUCUUAUUUUUUGCAAAUCUAAAUGUGAUUGAUGUCUUCUUGUAAGACAUCUCUCAUGAAAUCAGAAUGUGCGUGUAUUCCAACACAACGAAGUAGUCACAUGUUUCUAUGUGAUCUCGUUGAUGAAAGGUUUACAUUCAUAUUGUGCACAUAGAGCCUGCAAAAACUUAUCAAAAGGUAUCUGAAAUCAAGCAAGAUCACCCGCUGAACUUAA
rnacentral:misc_RNA from 1 species